UGAUUGGUUGCUAGGGGCAACUCAGCAACUUUUCCUCUGGACAGGUUUUGAUAAAUCUCCCCCACAGUCUCUACAUUUGACCCUUCCAUCUACAGAGAGAAGUUUUGUCAACUUUUUACCUAUUCUAAUUAAUGGAAGCAAUGCACAAUACUUUCUGGAUGUUGACCGAUUGCUUCAUCAACUUGACCACCCAGUGUGUAUUUGCUUCUUUUCAUGUCAAGACCAGAUCUUCCAACAAUGCAUGCCUGUACAAUAUCUUCAAUGAUUUCCAGGAAGAAUAAUCUUUGAAAUAGGGUCUGUAUAAUAAUCUGAUCGAUUCCUCCGUUCGUGUUAUAUAUUCAGCUCACCUGACAAUCAUUGAUGGAUUCUCUUCUCCCGUGACAUGAUAAGCAAACAGUGUGGCACCAUGCCUAUCAGUUCAAAGAGUACAUAUAUUUUUAGAUGUUCUUUCUUUCUUUUCAUACUUCACAUCUGGCAAACAGGUCUUCACAAACAUCCCGAAAACACAUUCCAGUCUAUAAUAAGUCUAAAAUGGAAUUUUAUUCAUUGACCAGAAGUUGGAGCCAUAAGGAAAGACUUUAAUUUGUUGAGUGUGCAGGAUCAUUGUGCCGGAGUCUCAUGCAGGGGAAAACCGUUUGCCUUCAAAAAGUAUUAAACUCAUUCCGUGUAGGAUAAAUUGCCGGAUUACAAUUGAAUUUCAUUACAUAACAACAAAGUAAGUUUAACUGUUCUAGACAUAUGUGAUAUUACCAGCGUAUCGGGAAAGUUAUUAUGAUGUCUCAUUAUGGUUUACCUGCUGGUAUCAUAAAGCAUCUUGCUGUACAUAAUAUCAUUACAAAUAAAAAUUAAAGUUACUC